rnacentral:tRNA from 1 species
GCCUGGGUGGCUCAGUCGGUUGGGUAUCUGACUUCGGCUCAGGUCGUGAGCUGGCAGUUUGUGAGUUCAAGCCCCGCGUCAGGCU